GGCAGCAUAGUCGAGCGGUCUAAGUCGCUGGUUUAAGACACCAGUCUCUUUGGAGGUGUGGGAACGAAUCCUAUCGCUGCUA
rnacentral:tRNA from 1 species